rnacentral:ncRNA from 1 species
CACCUGUAUUGGCAAACUAAUCGAAAGGUUAGGACGCAAAGUUUCCGGUCUAAGGUUUUAGCGUGCUAAAACUAAGAUAGCGGAGCCGUCGCA